UACGGAGGGAGCUAGCGUUGUUCGGAAUUACUGGGCGUAAAGCGCGCGUAGGCGGAUUUGCCAGUCAGGGGUGAAAUCCCGGGGCUCAACCUCGGAACUGCCUCUGAUACAGCAAGUCUUGAGUCCGGAAGAGGUGGGUGGAAUUCCUAGUGUAGAGGUGAAAUUCGUAGAUAUUAGGAAGAACACCAGUGGCGAAGGCGGCCCACUGGUCCGGUACUGACGCUGAGGUGCGAAAGCGUGGGGAGCAAACAGG
rnacentral:rRNA from 1 species